UCCUGAGANNCGGCUACCACAUCCAAGGAAGGCAGCAGGCGCGCAAAUUACCCACUCCCGGCACGGGGAGGUAGUGACGAAAAAUAACGAUACGGGACUCAUCCGAGGCCCCGUAAUCGGAAUGAGAACAAUUUAAAUCCUUUAACGAGGAUCAAUUGGAGGGCAAGUCUGGUGCCAGCAGCCGCGGUAAUUCCAGCUCCAAUAGCGUAUAUUAAAGUUGUUGCGGUUAAAAAGCUCGUAGUCGAAUCUGUGUCCCGCGCCGCCGGUUCGUCGCUCGCGGCGUUUAACUGGCGUGUCCGCGGGACGUCCUGCCGGUGGGCUUAGCUUCUCCUUUGGGGCGGCCCAAUUAUAAUCCCGCCGCGGUGCUCUUUACCGAGUGUCGAGGCGGGCCGGCACGUUUACUUUGAACAAAUUAGAGUGCUUAAAGCAGGCUAAAACUUUGCCUGAAUACUUCGUGCAUGGAAUAAUGGAAUAGGACCUCGGUUCUAUUUUGUUGGUUUUCGGAACCCCGAGGUAAUGAUUAAUAGGAACGGAUGGGGGCAUUCGUAUUGCGACGUUAGAGGUGAAAUUCUUGGAUCGUCGCAAGACGGACAGAAGCGAAAGCAUUUGCCAAAAACGUUUUCAUUGAUCAAGAACGAAAGUUAGAGGUUCGAAGGCGAUCAGAUACCGCCCUAGUUCUAACCAUAAACGAUGCCAGCUAGCGAUCCGCCGAAGUUCCUCCGAUGACUCGGCGGGCAGCUUCCGGGAAACCAAAGCUUUUGGGUUCCGGGGGAAGUAUGGUUGCAAAGCUGAAACUUAAAGGAAUUGACGGAAGGGCACCACCAGGAGUGGAGCCUGCGGCUUAAUUUGACUCAACACGGGAAACCUCACCAGGCCCGGACACCGGAAGGAUUGACAGAUUGAGAGCUCUUUCUUGAUUCGGUGGGUGGUGGUGCAUGGCCGUUCUUAGUUGGUGGAGCGAUUUGUCUGGUUAAUUCCGAUAACGAACGAGACUCUGGCCUGCUAACUAGGCGUAUUUCCGACAUCUCGAAGGCCCGCCGGCCUGGUGCGCUCGCGCGCCAAGUCGUGCGCGGUUUUUACUGUCGGCGUACAAACAAUUCUUCUUAGAGGGACAGGCGGCUUCUAGCCGCACGAGAUAGAGCAAUAACAGGUCUGUGAUGCCCUUAGAUGUUCUGGGCCGCACGCGCGCUACACUGAAGGAAUCAGCGUGUCCUCCCUGGCCGAGCGGCCCGGGUAACCCGCUGAACCUCCUUCGUGCUAGGGAUUGGGGCUUGCAAUUGUUCCCCAUGAACGAGGAAUUCCCAGUAAGCGCGAGUCAUAAGCUCGCGUUGAUUACGUCCCUGCCCUUUGUACACACCGCCCGUCGCUACUACCGAUUGAAUGAUUUAGUGAGGUCUUCGGACCGGCACGCGGUGGCGUUUCGACGUCGCCGAUGCUGCUGGAAAGAUGACCAAACUUGAUCAUUUAGAGGAAGUAAAAAGUCGUA
rnacentral:rRNA from 1 species